AAGCUCGUAGUUGAAUUUCGGGAUUAGUACGUCGGUCGUGCCUUAGGUACGUACGUGGUGUUACGUGGUUCCUACCUUCGUGACGAACCAUCAUGUCAUUAAUUUGGUGUGGUGGGGAAUCAGGACUGUUACUUUGAAAAAAUUAGAGUGUUUAAAGCAGGCUCGCGCUUGAAUACAUUAGCAUGGAAUAAUGAAAUAGGACGUUGAUCCUAUUUUGUUGGUUUCUAGGAUUGACGUAAUGAUUAAUAGGGAUAGUUGGG
rnacentral:rRNA from 1 species